ACGAACGCUGGCGGCAGGCUUAACACAUGCAAGUCGAACGGCUGUAGCAAUACAGCAGUGGCAGACGGGUGAGUAACACGUGGGAACCUUCCUAGGGGUACGGAACAACUCAGGGAAACUUGAGCUAAUACCGUAUACGUCCGUAAGGAGAAAGAUUCAUCGCCCCUAGACGGGCCCGCGUAGGAUUAGGUAGUUGGUGAGGUAACGGCUCACCAAGCCUACGAUCCUUAGCUGAUCUGAGAGGAUGAUCAGCCACACUGGGACUGAGACACGGCCCAGACUCCUACGGGAGGCAGCAGUGGGGAAUCUUGGACAAUGGGCGCAAGCCUGAUCCAGCCAUGCCGCGUGAGUGAAGAAGGCCUGCGGGUUGUAAAGCACUUUUGGCGAAGACGAGGCUUAUUGAUUUAAAUAGGGUUAAUGAGUGACGGUAUUCGCAGAAAAAGCACCGGCUAACUCUGU
rnacentral:rRNA from 1 species